rnacentral:misc_RNA from 1 species
AUCAAUUUGCCAAAGAUGUUAGCGCCCAAAUAAUUGACAAAACACGGUCAGUGGUGAAGGAUCUCCAUUCACGCAUCAGGGUGGCUCUAUAUUCAGUUGAUUCAAUAUCAAAGCGGAUAGAGAAAAUGAGGGAUGAAGAGUUGUUGCCUCAAAUUUUGGAACUUAUCCAAGGAUUGAUCAGAAUGUGGAGAGCGAUGCUUGAAUGCCAUCAUGCUCAGUAUAUAACCAUUUCUCUAGCAUACCACGCCAAAGCUUCGG